rnacentral:rRNA from 1 species
UUCGUAGGGUGCGAGCGUUAAUCGGAAUUACUGGGCGUAAAGCGUGCGUAGGCGGUUCGUUAUGUCUGCCGUGAAAGCCCCGAGCUUAACUUGGGAAUUGCGCUUGUGACUGGCGUGCUGGAGUGUGGCAGAGGGAGGUGGAAUUCCACGUGUAGCAGUGAAAUGCGUAGAGAUGUGGAGGAACACCGAUGGCGAAGGCAGCCUCCUGGGCCAGCACUGACGCUCAUGCACGAAAGCGUGGGGAGCAAACAGG